rnacentral:rRNA from 1 species
GACGAACGCUGGCGGCGUGCUUAACACAUGCAAGUCGAACGAAGUGGCGAACGGGUGAGUAACGCGUAAUCAACCUGCCCUUCAGAGGGGGACAACAGUUGGAAACGACUGCUAAUACCGCAUACUGAAGGAGGGGAUUGCGUUUGAUUAGCGAGUUGGCGGGGUAACGGCCCACCAAGGCGAUGAUCAGUAGCCGGUCUGAGAGGAUGAACGGCCACAUUGGGACUUAGAAACGGCCCAGACUCCUACGGGAGGCAGCAGUGGGGAAUCGUCCGCAAUGGACGAAAGUCUGACGGAGCAACGCCGCGUGAGUGAUGACGGCCUUCGGGUUGUAAAGCUCUGUUAAUCGGGACGCGGUACCGGAAGAGAAAGCCACGGCUAACUACGUGCCAGCCGCCGCGGUAAUUC